CUCUGUGAAGAUGGCGGGGCCGGAGCUGCUGCUCCACUCUAACAUCCACCUUUGGGUGGUCCUACCCAUCGUUAUCAUCACCUUCUUUGUGGGCAUGAUCCGCCACUACGUGUCCAUCCUGCUGCAGAGCGACAAGAAGCUCACCCAGGAACAAGUCUCCGACAGUCAAGUCCUAAUUCGGAGCAGAGUCCUCAGGGAAAAUGGAAAAUACAUUCCCAAACAGUCUUUCUUGAUGUGAAAAUAUUACUUCAACAACCCAGAGGAUGGAUUUUUCAAAAAAACUAAAAGGAAGGUAGUGCCUCCUUCUAUGACUGAUCCCACCAUGCUCACAGACAUGAUGAAAGGCAAUGUAACAAAUGUGCUCCCUAUGAUUCUUAUUGGUGGUUGGAUCAACAUGACUUUCUCAGGCUUUGUCACAACCAAGGUCCCAUUUCCACUGACUCUCCGUUUUAAGCCUAUGCUGCAACAGGGAAUUGAACUACUCACAUUAGAUGCAUCCUGGGUGAGUUCUGCAUCCGGGUACUUCCUCAAUGUUUUUGGGCUUCGAAGCAUUUACUCCCUGAUUCUGGGCCAAGAUAAUGCCGCUGACCAGUCACGGAUGAUGCAGGAGCAGAUGACGGGAGCAGCCAUGGCCAUGCCUGCAGACACCAACAAAGCUUUCAAGACAGAGUGGGAAGCUUUGGAGCUGAUGGAUCACCAGUGGGCACUGGAUGAUGUCGAAGAGGAGCUCAUGGCCAAAGACCUCCACUUCGAAGGUGUGUUCAAGAAGGAAUUACAGACCUCUAUUUUUUUAAGACCACGCAGGGAUUUGCUGUGUCAGGAACUCAGAGUAGUGGUUAACUUUGUAACUUUGGUUUGA